AACAGGGAACAGGAAUUCCACAUACACAAAUAAGUAAUAAUGUGCUGGUAAAAUUUACCAACUGGCUCUUUCCUAAAAAAAAAAAAGUACAUAUACUUUUGACUUUAACCGCAUUAUUAAUACUCUUUCCACCACUUUAAGCCUAGACAAUCAACAAAAUAAUAAAUCUGAUUUGUAGGUUUGCUGAUUUCUGAGAUGUAGAUGUAAAAGUUCACAUCAAAAACUUAAAAGACUGGAGCCUGGCUCCAACACAUCCUUGGUAUAAUAUAAGGGAGAAGAAAUUGCUAAUGUUAGCAAAGGAGUUUCAUAUUGUAGCAGACUACAGAGAUUCAUGAAGAAAAAAAAAUAAUCAAAUCCACAAAAUAUUUUAGGCAUUAUUUAUUAAACCAUUUGGAGACCCAUUUGGCAAGGUGAUUGAUUUCAAAACAAAUAGUCCACUCCAGCAGAAAAGAAAAACACAAAGAAUGCAUGGAUACUAGAAGCUAAAGACUUCUUGAAAGUCAGCAUAUAUCCUAGGUUGCUUACUGAUGCAUGGCAAGAUAUAAAGCACUGUCAUUCUUUUUCAAUGUCAGAAUAUGAAGUGGAGGAGGGAGGAGAGGGAGGAAGAUAUGCACCAUGAGUGAUCAAGAAGCAAAAAUAUAUGGUGGUGAACAGUACGAGCACACAAGUGCUUUGCUACUACAAAAUUUAAGACAAUACAGAGGGUAAAAAAGAAUAUCCACUAAUGUCGAUAUUCUUAUGUGGAAACAAAAUGAUUUUGGAAUUUAAAAAAAUAUAAUUGUAAUUCAUAAUAUAAGACCACCAGUUUGGGGACAUUAACAAGAGAAGCAAUAUGCUCAAAAAUGAACCUAUCAGAAAAAAAUCACUUUGAGUUUAAUUUUCAUUUCACUUAACAGGACUUGUACAACAAAGACUUGCCAAA